rnacentral:rRNA from 1 species
UACAGAGGGUGCAAGCGUUGUUCGGAAUUAUUGGGCGUAAAGGGCGCGUAGGCGGUGCCACAAGUCACCUGUGAAAUCUCCUGGCUCAACUGGGAGCUUGCAGGCGAAACUGCCGUGCUGGAGUGUGGGAGAGGUGCGUGGAAUUCCUGGUGUAGCGGUGAAAUGACGUAGAUAUCGGGAGGAACACCAGUGGCGAAGGCGGCAUCCUGGACCGACACUGACGCUGAGGAGCGAAAGCCAGGGGAGCAAACGGG